AAAGUCGUAACAAGGUUUCCGUAGGUGAACCUGCGGAAGGAUCAUUACCGAUUUUAGCGGACCUGAUCUCUGAUCAUGGUUUUCGCGAAAACUUUGUAUUUAAAACCCCACUCUUAUAAAUUGAAUCAUUUUAUAUGUAUAUAAUAAAUAAAGAUCACUUUCAACAACGGAUCUCUUGGCUCUC
rnacentral:misc_RNA from 1 species